rnacentral:rRNA from 1 species
AGAGUUUGAUCCUGGCUCAGGGUAAACGCUGGCGGCGUGCCUAAAACAUGCAAGUCGCACGCAACUUUCGGGUUGAGUGGCAGACGGCUGAGUAACGCGUGGGUGACAUGCCCAUUGGUGGGGAAUAACUGCCCGAAAGGGUGGCUAAUACCGCAUACGUCUACAGCUUCGUGGCUGUAGGGAAAGUCACAAGACGCCGAUGGAGUGGCCCGCGUCCGAUUAGCCAGUUGGUGGGGUAACGGCCUACCAAAGCGACGAUCGGUAGCUGGUCUCAGAGGAUGAUCAGCCAGACUGGGACUGAGACACGGCCCAGACUCCUACGGGAGGCAGCAGUUAGGAAUUUUGGGCAAUGGGCGAAAGCCUGACCCAGCAACGCCGCGUGGGUGACGAAGGCCUUCGGGUUGUAAACCCCUGUCGAGGGGGAGGAAGGGCCGGCGCAGAGCCGGUCUUGACCGAUCCCUGGAGGAAGCACGGGCUAAGUUCGUGCCAGCAGCCGCGGUAAUAC